CCUACGGGUGGCAGCAGUGAGGAAUAUUGGUCAAUGGUCGGGAGACUGAACCAGCCAAGCCGCGUGAGGGAGGAAGGUACAGAGUAUCGUAAACCUCUUUUGUCAGGGAACAAAGACUGGGACGCGUCCCCGGAUGAGUGUACCUGAAGAAAAAGCAUCGGCUAACACCGUGCCAGCAGCCGCGGUAAUCCGGAGGAUGCGAGCGUUAUCCGGUUUUAUUGGGUUAAAAGGGUGCGCAGGCGGUCUGUUAAGUCAGCGGUCAAAGCCCGGGGCCAACCCCCGGCCCGCCGUUGAAACUGGCAGUCUCGAGUUGGAGAGAAGUAUGCGGAAUGCGCGGUGUAGCGGUGAAAUGCAUAGAUAUCGCGCAGAACUCCGAUUGCGAAGGCAGCAUGCCGGCUCCACACUGACGCUGAGGCACGAAAGCGUGGGUAUCGAACAGGAUUAGAUACCCCAGUAGUC
rnacentral:rRNA from 1 species